CCAUCCAUGUAUUGAAUUUAUGAUUUUACUUUAUGUUCAGUAUUUUGUGUUUAAAAUCUCACAUCAAACACUUUUCAAUCCCAGCUCAUCACACACAACCUGUUAAGAAACCAACGUGUGUUUAUGAUCGGUGGUUGAAUUUUUUUCAGAAGAUAUUAAGGUUACGAGUUUUUGCAGAAAUAAGGACUGACUUCACUUCCGGUCGGGAACACAGCUGUUGGCUAAGCUCAAACUCCGCCUGGUUAAAUUCCGCAUUUCCAAUAUGGCUACCGCCGUCAAUGAGUUUCAAACAGAUCACAUGAACAGUAGGGGGACGUUACGAAUACUCCCAUUCAAGUUACAAUAUUAUGCACACAAAUAUAAUCAAGGAGACAUGUCACAUUACGGAUGAUUACUCAGAUCAAACCACAUAUCAAAUUCAUUCAUACUGGGACUCGAACCGGCGACGCUCUGAUUCCCAGUCCGAGUCCCUACCGACUAAGCUACUACCGCUGAUAGAUACUCCGGGCUGAUCUACUCCAACUAUUUAGCCGUUAUGGACUAACUACUGCCGGUAGCACCAUUUACCCUAACCACUACCUUGUCCUCCGAUAAUCAAUCUAAAAGUUUUCAUUGUGUCUUAUCUGACCUGACAAGGCUAAUUGGGGAGAUUUGAGGGAGUUUACCGCGACCGGCACAGCCCAGAAGGCAGAAAUGCGACGGUAAAUGUAUAAACCGUGACUAACACUUCAAGUUGGUCUUAAUACGACACUUUGUGUAAAAGUGUUCUGGUUGUGGUUUUUCCCCGAUAUCACAAAUAAUUUCUGUCAUCAUCGAUCAGCAACACACACUGUUAUACCGGCCAUUGGAAAACACUGUGCGUAAACUGUCAGAAGGGGUUUCUCUAGCUUGAGUCAUACGGCACACGAUAGACGAAAACCAUGUAAACAAAUGAAAAACCUGGAAACUCAGCAUGUCAGAGCAAUAAACUAAAACAUAUAUCACAAUAAAUAUGAAAAACCUUUUAAUGACCUACCGUGAAAGAUGCCUUGAUGGAGCUUCCCGUUGUUGUCGGCACCACAGCCAUCUGAUUGGUCGAGGUGGUGGGAGGCGGGAGUUGAGGCGGAGGAUAUUUUUAAUUGGUAAGAAAUGGAGAAAGGGGGAUUUGAUUGGCAGGAUAUGGACAAAAGGGUUGUGGGGCAGAGAUACUACGCUGCGUUAGGCAAUCACCUGAACUAGCAGGGAUUAGCCAACCUCCAAGCGGGAGGCACUGCGACCAGGCUUACCUGUACUUUCACUAGCCUGCACAGUCAUUAGCCGACAGCCGCCAGUGAAAUACGCAGUCACACAGGUUGUGCCCUCUGCCUCACAACCACAAUAGUACAAUGUGACGGCCUGCUUUAUAAAUGACCGCCUGCAGCUACCUAUUUCUAUCACGGUGUUGAAAAUAUUAUUAUUUUUUGUUUAUGGACUCUAUACACUUAUUAAGAUGUCUCCACAAACACAAAGUACGAGAUACAUCGAAAAGAACUCGAGAAAUGAGUCAAAACCGAGAAAUACUUCGUGUUUCUAUAGAGUUCCGGGAGAUGACGUCACAUCCGAAAGUAGACUACCAAUCAGCUUGCUUCGGGGUGAUGUGACCCCGGACAACUACAAAAUUUGAAUUAGCGAAGUUCACGACUGUCUGAUUGAAUCGUUUCUCAGUUUCUAUCUCUUUUCUCAGACUACAAACUAUUUACAGUUGUAAUCGUUUUAUAUUACAUGAGCACUUUCUUUUUUUUACCGGAAGAGCACUUUUUUUUUUUACUUCCGAUAGCCUGUUAGAGUGUUUGGGACAAUCGCGACCAGUCCGGUAACAGGUAAACAUGCCUGAUCUCAUUCAUACAGUGCAGUGAUUUAUGAAAUGAUAAUGGCUUUUGUCAUUGCUAAUCGUUUUACUACUGCGCAGUUGUUUUAAGUGUUCGGUGAGGGCGUACAUAAAGCAAUCUACAUUAAAAGUUAGCUUACAGCCGUCCAUCCAUCCAUCCAUUCAUUCAUUCAUUCAUUCAUUCAUUCACGCCGUUAUUAACAGAUUGUUAACGUUUUGUUAUUCAUAAUACAAAUACUGUGCACAUCUUCUCGCAGGCUAUAUUCAAUAGAGUUUCCCUGCGGUUAAAAUCACCUAUGAGCACGAAACGGACUUUUAGUGAGAGAAGAGCUUGUUUUUAGAGUUUUGCUGCAAGAGAAAAGACGAUUGAAUUGAAUUGGAUGCCUUUAUUGUCAUUACACAAUGUGUAACGAGAUAAAGAGUGCAAAACAUGGAUAUAACAAAUAACAAUAGAAUUUUUUUCAAUGAUAAUGAUGUUGUGACAGUACUCGCCAGUAAGGUGGCGAACCCAGUGAUCCGGCUGGUCAACCAAGACGCCCCUGCACAUCGUCAGCAGGCCGUUCUGAUUUCGACCAAGCAGGCCCGUUUAUACCGGGAGAAGAAGAGGGUUUUCCCCGGACCUUCAGCAGAGCUUCUCCUCCAGUUCACUGCUCUGGUUCACGCAGAGAGACUCCUGCGCGCAGAGGGUUUCUCUGCACCAUCUCGCAUCAUCCCCCAUCUACAUUUAGAAUAAUUUUGUGCUUUUUUAAAUUCUUUUAAAUUCCACACAGGAUUAUAUUACCUGAAUAUUUCUUUGCUCAAAACUCUGGCUAAUGAUCAUGGCAAGUGGCAAAGUUUUUUUACUCUUUAUUUAAAUGCAUUGGUAUUAAUGACAAUACCAAGCUGAUGUUUAUAAACAGCAUGCUGGACAAACACAGAGAGGAGAUGAAAAAAUCCUCACAGGAAGGGUGAGGUGGGGAACCAGUGGGUAAAGGACCACCUCACAGAAUAUGUGGAGUGUUUCCCUCAAGUGUCCUGUCACCUGGAGGCCAACAUCACCGUGUAUCUAUGGCCAGAUGGGUUCACACCUUUGAGGAGAUGUGGGGACUGUACAGCCAGUACCACGCCCUCAAAAAUCACCCCGUGGAAUUCACUCCGGAGCAGAGGGAGGUGGUGCUGAAGGCCCACAGCUCCACGAGAAGGUGGCUGAACACCCCGGGGACCCACAUCACCAGCUUCCAGAUGAAGAGGUUCAGGAAAUUCAUCAGGGACAAGGAGCAAGCAGUCAUGUCCACAUGUGACGCUUCUUUGUGGCCUGGUGAUGAAUACGAGCUGAUUGCUGCAAGCCAGACAGUGGAGGACCUGCUCCAGAGCCAGUCUAGACCCGCAGAGACGCAGUCCACUGUCCGGCUGCAGAAGACGCUCUCCACUGUCCGGCUGCAGCAGUCUCCACUGCUGUCCAGCCACAGCAGUCUCCCACCACAAGUCAGGGUCCUGACUUACCUCCGACCAAAGCCUCUGUUGAGCAAGAGGGUUGGGUGCGUCACUAGGAAGAUCCCAAUGGCAUCCCAGUGGCCAACGUCUCUUGGCUCAAAGAGGAUCCGGAAAGAGGGCUGUUCACACCCGUCCAAGUCUUCAAAGACAUUUCUGGUCGGAUGAAGAGGCGACUGGUGAUGAAAUCAGACCGCAUGUGGUUUUACCCACCAGAACCCCCCGGCUACAUCCGUGGAGGUCUUCCCAACCCACAGGUCUUCUUUCAGAGCUGUGUCUUUGUCUGGUGGCCUGUUGGAGUGUGGAAGUACUCCCUGAAGUGUCCUAGAGGGGAAGAGUGUGUGGGUAGUGGACGCAACGUCCACCUUUACAGAUCUGGCUACCACACACAGGUACGUCACAUCUGUGAUAUAUCCAGCUGGUAUACAGCCCUGAGUGAGGUCCUGUGCUGUGGACCGUGUACAAAGGCGGCCAGAAGUGGAGAAGGUGUCACAGUGGGUCGGUGGCUUGCGUGGGAUACCGCUGUUUUAUCGCAGCUCAGCGAGGCUCAUCAAGCCAUGUUUCCUGCCCUCUUCACCAGCAAGUGUGGUGUGGACAGGAACGGUGUGCACCUUAUGCGAGACUGGACAGAGGGGAACACAAUGGUCAAGGUGUGGUGGCAGGUCAAGGAGAAUCACGUGGAGGAGUAUCUCCAGCGUAAGGACCUGUACACCACACUCCUGACGACCGUAGUGAAACCCGGAGGGAUCGUCUCUGCUUUUGGCCACACUUUCUAGCCUCCACCUCCUCAGAGAGAGCCUCCAACCGUGCGGCUCCUGCGUCACGCCUUCCUGCUCGCAGAGGCGAGCAACGUGUAGGACUACAGGAGCCAGAUUCCGUCCACUUUCGGCACUGUGCUGAAAAUGGACUCCACAAAGAAAGUGGUGAAGAAGCUGUCUGUUCAAGUUGGCUUUGGCCGGUGCAGUGCUGGCCUACAAUCACCCAGACCUGGAGCUGCUCAUCAAGGCUGUGAGAGCAAAGGACCCAGCUAGACUGAAUUCUGUGUCGGAUGAGGAUGUCGUCCGGCUCCUCAUUUCCAGGAAGCAGCUCAAGCACCACGUGCACAGAAUCACACUCGGGGAUCAGGAAACAUUCCGGCACAACCACCUGGCCAUCGAGCAGCUGAACGGUCCAGCCGGGCUGGACGAGAGUGGCGUGAGCCUCUUCAAAAUACCUGAGGCCAUCAAUGAGAUGUGGGCCAGCCAGCAGCAACACCUGUAAUGUAUGCAGGAUCCACCAGGCACGAGUAUGUACAGGGUGGCACGUACCACAACCAUCAACAAUGUGGUCGUGCCGUACUGCGAGUCUCUGCGUGGAAGCAACAGCCUGGAAGGAUUCCACAUUUGUGAUACCAGGUCCUCACUGCGCAGCAAGGCCCUAUCAGGUUUACCUGAUACGUGGAAUCGCGAGGUGGAACUCUAAUAGGAGCUCAGAUGCCGUGUUUUGUGGCAAAGGACGGCACUACAGGGUUCAGCCCGGGCAGCCCGAUCCACAGGCGGAGGUCGACAAAGCCUACCAGAGUGAUGUGGAGGCACCUGAUGACAUGGAUCUUCACACCACUCUGCCCCACAUCACUCUCACCUCCACUGUUCACCCUCCAGCCUUUGAGGAUACCUGCAGUCCGAAUCCUCUUCCUGGGUUCAAGAAGUUGGAGGACUUCUGUUCAGCGUUGGUGGAGAUUGGCCUGGCAGAAGAAAACAAACUGUCACUGACCACGGAGCAGAGGAACAACAUCCUGCAGUUGUGGAACGCCAUGGAUGAGCUCAACAAACAGCCACAGAAGUUCAACCAGCUGUACAGAACCCACUGGGGCAACACCCUCUACUGCAGGACGAAGAGGGAUGAUCUUGCUGAUGCUGCUGUGAUUUAAAAGGUCAAGAUGGCCACGAGGUACGCACCGGCUCAGCAAGACAUCAACCUCCAGGUGAACCGGCUCAUGUACACGUUGGUCAAGCUUCUGUGGCUCAACUCACCUCAGGGGUCGCACAGUGGUCCGGAGAUGAGCAGAAUCCUUCCGUUGUAUGAAAAGGUCCAGCACCGGAUUUUGGUGGAGGAUCCUGUUCUGUCUAAGGCGGGCAUCCCUCUGCCCAAAAUCAACACCAAAACGGUGCAAGACUUCAUCCAUCGCCAAGAGAGACUGCUCAACCUCCAUUCAACCACACAGCCGUCUACCAUCACCAAAACUACCUCCAUUUCAGCUGCAGAGCUGCCUCCAGCCCCACACCAUCCAGCCGUCCUCCCUCCACCAGACUACCCUGUGAUGGCGUAUGAGCCAACACCCAGCAGAGACACAGAGUGGCCUGCAGUGGCAGGGUUGUCACCACACAUACACACACACACACACACACACACACACACAGACACACACAGACACACACAGACACACACACACACACACACACACACACACACACACACACACACACACACACACACACACACACACACACACACACACACACACACACCUGGACUAAACUGUGUUGUCUAUAAAUACCUCUCUGUACAUACCUCAAAUAUUUAUCACCACUGUACAAAAGUAAACGUUGUUUGAUUGAUUGCUUGUUUUUUUGUUUGCACUUCUGGUUACUGUUUUUUAUUACAAGUAUUUUGUCUAAUGUUCACUAAUGUUCUGGCACUUUAACAUCCAUGUAUAUAUCUCCUUCAUUCCCAGCACUUCUAUACUUAGCUAACUAACUAUUCUGUGCUUCUGUAUAUACAUUAUUUUAUUUUAUUCUAUUUGAUCUUUAUUUUAU